AAGAGAUGCCAAAUAGUUAAUGUUACACUAAUUCUUAAAUUUAUGGCUUUUAUAAUAUCACUUUUCUCUGGAAUAGUCUGCACAUUUAUGUGAGAUAAGUAUUUGGAGGUUUCCCUUGUGUUUUUCUGUUCUCAAAUUUCUAUUGUCAUACACAUUUUAGAGCCUGCACACAUGUAAUUGCUUGACUAAAUAAAUUAUUUGACAACUAUCAUGUACUGCAUUUUACCAUUGUUUUUGUGUCCUUUAUGAUUUGCAAUUUUGCAUGCUUCUAGAAACUAGUAAUUAUUUUCAUGACAUUGCAAUCCUCAAACCUAAGAAGCAUUUGGGAGAUUUUUUUUACCAUGGCAUAUCUAAAUUAGUAUGUUGGAUGGGUUACUUCUCAUAUUAUUGUACUUGAAAACUCCAAA
rnacentral:misc_RNA from 1 species